AGAGCGAACGCUGGCGGCAGGCCUAACACAUGCAAGUCGAGCGCUCCGCAAGGGGAGCGGCAGACGGGAGAGUAACACGUGGGAACGUACCCUUCAGUUCGGAACAACCCAGGGAAACUUGGGCUAAUACCGGAUACGUCCGUAAGGAGAAAGAUUUAUCGCUGAAGGAUCGGCCCGCGUCUGAUUAGCUAGUUGGUGAGGUAACGGCUCACCAAGGCGACGAUCAGUAGCUGGUCUGAGAGGAUGAUCAGCCUCACUGGGACUGAGACACGGCCCAGACUCCUACGGGAGGCAGCAGUGGGGAAUAUUGGACAAUGGGCGCAAGCCUGAUCCAGCCAUGCCGCGUGGGUGAUGAAGGCCCUAGGGUUGUAAAGCCCUUUCGGCGGGGAAGAUAAUGACGGUACCCGCAGAAGAGCCCGGCUAACUUCGCGCCAGCAGCCGC
rnacentral:rRNA from 1 species